rnacentral:lncRNA from 1 species
CAUUCUCAUCAUGAUACACACAAACUAAACAUUAGAUCCUCUCAAGUUAUUAUGAAUAGAGGCCAGGAUUACAUGAAAAGCUCAAAUGGAUUGGGUGGUAGAUUCUAUGACCUCUAUCCUGAAUCUCCUCCAUUCCAAAACCAGCAAGGUUCAUAUGACUCUGUUGACGGAAGACUUCCAUUUAAAGAUCUGGCCCGUGUUCAACAUUCUCAUCAUGAUGCACACAAACUAAACAUCAGAUCCUCUCAAGUUAUUAUUAAUAGAGGCCAGGAUGACAUGAAAAGCUCAAAUGGAUUGGGUGGUAGAUUUUAUGACCCCUAUCCUGAAUCUCCUCCAUUCCAAAACCAGCAAGGUUCAUAUGGCUCUGUUGACGGAAGACUUCCAUUUAAAGAUCUGACCCGUGUUCAACAUUCUCAUCAUGAUGCACACAAACUAAACAUCAGAUCCUCUCAAGUUAUUAUUAAUAGAGGCCAGGAUGACAUGAAAAGCUCAAAUGGAUUGAGUGGUAGAUCCUAUGAC